AGAGACCAGACUCUUUCAGUCCAUUGCCAGUCGAAGCAGAUUUGACUCAAUCAUUUGGGCAAAUGUCAGUGAUCACACAAGGAGACCAAAGCCAGGAUCAUAGGCACCUCCAGCUUACAAAAGAAUUUCAGGAUAGUCACCUGUCACCAGCCCUCCCUCUGUUGCCAUCAAACUCUGGAGUACAACACAACUUCACCGAGUGUUCUUUUUUCAACCAAAGUAAUAUGGAAUUUGCCCCUUUAAGAGCAUCUCCAGACGUUUCUAUUACAUCAGAGAGGUUUCACAAUCUAUCCCAGGGCCGCAUCACUGAGGCCUCUGAGCUUGGAUCACUGUCCCAGCAUCCUCUAGCCCAGGC